GUCCCUUUCGUCUAGAGGCCUAGGACACCGGGUUUUCAUCCCGGCAACACGGGUUCGAAUCCCGUAGGGGAUGCCA
rnacentral:tRNA from 1 species